CCUACGGUCGGCAGCAGUGGGGAAUAUUGGACAAUGGGGGCAACCCUGAUCCAGCCAUGCCGCGUGUGUGAAGAAGGCCCUCGGGUUGUAAAGCACUUUCAGUGAGGAAGAACGCCUGGUGGUUAAUACCCAUCAGGAAAGACAUCACUCACAGAAGAAGCACCGGCUAACUCCGUGCCAGCAGCCGCGGUAAUACGGAGGGUGCGAGCGUUAAUCGGAAUUACUGGGCGUAAAGCGCGCGUAGGUGGCUUGAUAAGCCGGUUGUGAAAGCCCCGGGCUCAACCUGGGAACGGCAUCCGGAACUGUCAAGCUAGAGUGCAGGAGAGGAAGGUAGAAUUCCCGGUGUAGCGGUGAAAUGCGUAGAGAUCGGGAGGAAUACCAGUGGCGAAGGCGGCCUUCUGGACUGACACUGACACUGAGGUGCGAAAGCGUGGGUAGCAAACAGGAUUAGAUACCCUAGUAGUC
rnacentral:rRNA from 1 species